AAUCAACGCUGGCGGCGUGCCUAACACAUGCAAGUCGAACGAGAUAGUGACUUCGGUCACUGGAAAGUGGCGUCCGGGUGAGUAACACGUGGGUAAUCUACCCUCGGGUGGGGAAUAACGGAUCGAAAGAUUCGCUAAUACCGCAUAAUGCAGCGGCACCUAAUGGUGAAUAGUUGUUAAAGCGGGGGAGUCGCAAGACCUCGCGCCUGAAGAGGAGCCUGCGGCAGAUUAGCUAGUUGGUGAGGUAAUGGCUCACCAAGGCUUCGAUCUGUAGCUGGUCUGAGAGGACGGCCAGCCACACUGGCACUGACACACGGGCCA
rnacentral:rRNA from 1 species